rnacentral:rRNA from 1 species
AUGAACGCUGGCGGCGUGCCUAAUACCUGCAAGUCGCGCGAACAGACGAGGAGCUUGCUCCUCUGACGUUAGCGGCGGCCGGGUGAGUAACACGUGGAUAACCUACCUAUAAGACUGGGAUAACUUCGGGAAACCGGAGCUAAUACCGGAUAAUAUAUUGAACCGCAUGGUUCAAUAGUGAAAGACGGUUUUGCUGUCACUUAUAGAUGGAUCCGCGCCGCAUUAGCUAGUUGGUAAGGUAACGGCUUACCAAGGCAACGAUGCGUAGCCGACCUGAGAGGGUGAUCGGCCACACUGGAACUGAGACACGGUCCAGACUCCUACGGGAGGCAGCAGUAGGGAAUCUUCCGCAAUGGGCGAAAGCCUGACGGAGCAACGCCGCGUGAGUGAUGAAGGUCUUCGGAUCGUAAAACUCUGUUAUUAGGGAAGAACAAAUGUGUAAGUAACUAUGCACGUCUUGACGGUACCUAAUCAGAAAGCCACGGCUAACUACGUG